UCCCAAAUAUUCAAGAUACCCAAGUGCAUCUUGGUGUCACUGAUGAUCUUGGGUUGCUUGCUCACAUGACUGCGAGUGUAGAGUUAACUUGCACAUCAAGCAUAAUGGAAGAGAAAGACUUCAGAAUUCAUACGACGUCAGAUGGAGUGAGCAGUGUCUCUGAACGAGAGUUAGCAUCAUCAACUAAAGGGUUAGACUAUGCUGAAAUGACUGCCACAACUUUGGAAACAGAGU
rnacentral:lncRNA from 1 species